rnacentral:rRNA from 1 species
AACGAACGCUGGCGGCGCGCCUAAUACAUGCAAGUCGAGCGAGAAGGUGUAGCAAUACACUUGUAAAGCGGCGAACGGGUGAGGAAUGCAUGGGUAACCUACCCUCGAGUGGGGAAUAACUAGCCGAAAGGUUAGCUAAUACCGCAUACGUUUCCGGAACUUCGGUUUCGGAAAGAAAGCAAUACCGUGGGUAUUGCGCUCCUGGAUGGGCUCAUGUCCUAUCAGCUUGUUGGUGAGGUAACGGCUCACCAAGGCUUCGACGGGUAGCUGGUCUGAGAGGACGAUCAGCCACACUGGCACUGCGACACGGGCCAGACUCCUACGGAGGCAGCAGUAAGGAAUAUUGCGCAAUGGACGAAAGUACUGACGCAGCGACGCCGCGU